UGGGGGAUAUUGCACAAUGGGCGAAAGCCUGAUGCAGCGACGCCGCGUGGGGGAUGAAGGCCUUCGGGUUGUAAACUUCUUUUGCUCUGAACAAGGCGCACCAUGGGGUGUGUUGAGUGUAGGGGUUGAUUAGCGCCGGCUAACUACGUGCCAGCAGCCGCGGUAAUACGUAGGGCGCGAGCGUUGUCCGGAAUUAUUGGGCGUAAAGGGCUUGUAGGUGGCUGGUUGCGUCUGUCGUGAAAGCUCAUGGCUUAACUGUGGGUUUGCGGUGGGUACUGGCUGGCUUGAGUGCAGUAGGGGAGGCUGGAAUUCCUGGUGUAGCGGUGGAAUGCGCAGAUAUCAGGAGGAAUACCGGUGGCGAAGGUGGGUCUCUGGGCUGUUACUGACACUGAGGAGCGAAAGCAUGGGGAGCGAACAGG
rnacentral:rRNA from 1 species